UAGCAAUUAAACAGUUUAUUGCUACACAGAGCAGAGGAGAAUGUUCGUGGCGAUCCGGAGUUGGUGGGUCGGGUAGAUUGCCGGACAGAUAGUCACCCUCGACGGUUCGGAGGAACUGGUAUUCCGGCAGGAGAAGGGAGUCGAGUGGUGGACGUGACAACGAUGACCGAGGAGGGAAACAACAGGAUCAGAAAUGGCGACUCGAACGAGAAUAACGAGAAUAACUAGAAAGUCCUAGAGAGGUCGGAGGAUAACUUAACCAGGAUUUGAGGACUCCCAAAACUGGGUCGGGGACGGAAAGUGGGGAGGUGACAGUGGCGACGUGGCAGUAUUAUGAUUUGAUGCACAAGGUUCUUGGUGCCCGGCCAACAAUCGACCCACCAGUCCUUGUGUCCUCGAUUCAAGAAGACCCCAUGGUUAUCCUCAUGGAGAUGGUGGAGCCCUACAACCAAGCACCCCCGACAGCAGCCAGCACCCCAGUACACCCGCCGACCACAUCAAUCAUGCGAAGGAGGUCCAAAACAGUUGCAGAACUCCUGGCUGAGGAGGCACUUCAGGAGCAGAGGCGCCAUGAAGAGAGUGAGGCCAAGACAGAUCGCUUUCUUGAUCUCUUUGAGAGGAUGGUCAACAAAUUAUAAUUAUUGAUUUUUGUUGUUCCUAUGUUUUUGGUAUGC
ensembl:lncRNA